rnacentral:rRNA from 1 species
GAUGAACGCGGUCGGCGUGCCUAAUACAUGCAAGUCGAGCGAACAGACGAGGAGCUUGCUCCUCUGACGUUAGCGUCGGACGGGUGAGUAACACGUGGAUAACCUCCCUAUAAUACUGGGAUAACUUCGGGAAACCGGAGCUAAUACCGGAUAAUAUAUUGAACCGCAUGGUUCAAUAGUGUAAGACGGUUUUGCUGUCACUUAUAGAUGGAUCCGCGCCGCAUUAGCUAGUUGGUAAGGUAACGGCUUACCAAGGCAACGAUGCGUAGCCGACCUGAGAGGGUGAUCGGCCACAUGGGAACUGAGACACGGUCCAGACUCCUACGGGAGGCAGCAGUAGGGAAUCUUUCGCAAUGGGAGAAAGCCUGACGGAGCACCGCCGCGUGAGUGAUGAAGGUCUUCGGAUCGUAAAACUCUGUUAUUAGGGAAGAACAAAUGUGUAAGUAACUAUGCACGUCUUGACGGUACCUAAUCAGAAAGCCACGGCUAACUACGUG